GAUGGGUCACACUGGGCUUAGCCUCCUUAUACUAACCCUUCUACUGAUCACAGACUCAAGUCACUUCCACGUCCACCUUCCUGCCCGAGAAGCCCCAGCCUGCUGGAGUGAACUUGUUUUACCGAAGAAGGCUGCCAUACAUCAUCGUUUAUCAGGCCUGGUGUAUUGUGAAGAUAGUCUUUCCCAGGAAGAGCCUGCCCCAGCACUGGCAGCUUGGCUCCCCCUUGGAUGGCUGCAGAGAACUGGCCCCUUUUUGAGCUUAUGGUUCUAUGACCCUGACUUUGUCACAAUGUCAAAUGGAGGUUGAUAAAAUAACAACAAAAACUAACUACUUUAAAAAUGAGCAUUUAUUAUGUCCCAGAUACUAAUCCACAAUUCUAAACACUUUACAGGUAUUAAAUCAUUUACUCAAAAUAGGAACUCUUUGUCUCCACUAUGCAGAUGAGGAAACUGAGGCAUGGAGAAGUUCAGUUACUGCAUACCCAGAAGACAGGAACUAUUGGUAUCCAAAGAAACCAAGGCUGAGAGAAGUUAAGCAGCUUGUCCAAGGUCACACAGCAGCAAAACAAGCUAGGAUUGAAAUCCAGGCAGCCUGCUUUUGUCCUUCACCACCACACUCUAAGCGUCGUAUCUCUUUUUUGCAAGACAUAAGGAUCAUUCAUCAGCAGAAAUGGUUCAACCUAGCUUGUUCCUUGUAUUCAUUUGCUUCCACUAUUCCAGUUCUUUCCUUUGGUAAGUUCUUCUUUGGAUUCAACAGGAGUCCAUCAUAUAACUGGAUUAAGAAAAUGUGGCACAUAUACACCAUGGAAUACUAUGCAGCCAUAAAAAAUGAUGAGUUCAUGUCCUUUGUAGGGACAUGGAUGAAGCUAGAAACCAUCAUUCUCGGCAAACUAUUGCAAGGACAAAAAACCAAACACCGCAUGUUCUCACUCAUAGGUGGGAACUGAACAAUGAGAACACAUGGACACAGGAAGGGGAACAUCACACACCGGGGUCUGUUGUGGGGUGGGGGGAGGGGGGAGGGAUAGCAUUAGGAGAUAUACCUAAUGCUAAAUGACGAGUUAAUGGGUGCAGCACACCAACAUGGCACAUGUAUACAUAUGUAACAAACCUGCACGUUGUGCACAUGUACCCUAGAACUUAAAGUAUAAAAAAA